AUGAGGGAGGCAGAGGCUGAACCUGGAGAGGCCGAGGGGAGGCAGGAGCUGGGCCUGGAGAGGCUGACUUCAGGGCCAUUUGGGCCUGCCGUGGCCACCGGGAGUGGCCACAGCAGCCGCUGGUGGUCCCGGUCACUGACUAGGGCCUGGUGGCCGAGGUCGCUCUGCGCGGUAGCUGGAACCGGGGACUUCUCGCCAGCGGUGACCACAACAACACGGAGGCAUCUCUUGUGCUGAAACUGACCAGAGGGCAAAGUGUUGGAGACAGUUGGUGUGUCUGAGGUGCCAAAACAGAAUGGAAACUAUGAGACCAGGCAGCUUUUCCUUCAUAGCGUUUUUGGCUACCAAGGUGUUGUCCUGUUUCCCUGGCAGGCCAGACUGUAUGACCAGGAUGUGGCUUCUGCAGCUCCAGAAAAAGCAGAGAACACUGCUGGCCAUGGCUCUAAGGAGGUAAAAGGCAAAAGUCACACUUACUGUCAGGUGCUGAUUGAUGCCCGUGACUGCCUACAUAUAUCUCAGCGAUCUCAGACAGAAGCUGUGGCCUUCUUGGCUAGCCAUGAUGACAGCUGUGCCCUCUAUGUCAUCCCAGGCCUGGACUAUGUCAGCCAUGAAGACAUCCUCCCCUACACCUCCAUUGAUCAGGUUCCCAUCCAACAUGAGCUCUUUGAAAGAUGUCUUCUGUACAACCAGACAGAAGCACCCCGUUCUGUGGCUUGGGAGACGUUAAGGGCCUGGGAAGAGAAGAAUCAACCUGGCUGGAGCUCUUUGAUGUUCACCGGGAAACAACUGAGAACAUACGUGUCACUGUCAUCCCCUUCUACAUGGGCGUGAGGGAAGCCCAGAAUUUCCAUGUGUUCUGGUGGCUCUGCUGUAUCCAUUUGGAGAACCUUGACAGUGACAUGGUACAGCUCCGGGAGUCACACUGGAGGAUAUUCAGUCUCUCCUGCACCUUGGAGACAGUGCAAGGCCGAGGGGUAGUGGGCAGGGAACUGGUGUCAUCCAAGAAACAGCCUGCAUUCCAGUAUAGCAGCCACAUCUUGCUGCAGGCUUCUAGUGGGCACAUGUGGGGCACAUUUCGCUGCGAAAGACCUGAUGGCUCCCACUUUGAUGUUUGGAUCCCUCCCUUCUCCCUGGAAAGCAAUAAAGAUGGGAAGACACCAACCUCAGGCCUUCACUGGUAGGCCAGCUGAGGCCCCACGUGGCCAGGCUCGGUCACCAGGAAGAACACCUCUCAUCCCACAAUUGCUGCAGAACUCUUCUCCCUCCCCAUCACAGGCCACAGUGGGUCUCUUAAUUUGAUUGUGGGGUUCUUUUUUGGAGGAGGGGUGGUAUAACUUUUCUUCAGACCACCCAUGUGGGACUCCUCCAAGGCUGUCCUUCUCAUAAGCUUCCUCAUGGCCUACACCAUGUUCCAAUAAGCCUCUCCACCAAGGAACUGUGUUCAGCUGCCACCGGCCUGGAGGACUUUCCUGGCCUGUCACAUGAGGUUUGAUCAGUAAACCACUAUGCACUUGACCACCCUUGC